GUCAGGUUGGGCUACAUGGGUUAAGGUCAGGUUGGGCUACAUGGGUUAAGGUCAGGUUGGGCUACAUGGGUUAAGGUCAGGUUGGGCUACAUGGGUUAAGGUCAGGUUGGGCUACAUGGGUUAAGGUCAGGUUGGGCUACAUGGGUUAAGGUCAGGUUGGGCUACAUGGGUUAAGGUCAGGUUGGGCUACAUGGGUUAAGGUCAGGUUGGGCUACAUGGGUUAAGGUCAGGUUGGGCUACAUGGGUUAAGGUCAGGUUGGGCUACAUGGGUUAAGGUCAGGUUGGGCAACAUGGGUUAAGGUCAGGUUGGGCUAUAUGGGUUAAGGUCUGGUUGGGUCAGCUUCUACUUUCACACAUGCCCCGAGUCGAUACUGCUUCGUUUGUGGUUCGAAGCGUUACGUGAAUUUAUUUUUAAAGUGACAUUAUUUCGUUGUUUAAAAAUAAGAUGAAAUAAGAAAAAACAAGAAAAGGUAGAAAAAAAAUAGCCGAGUAGAUAUAAGAAGAAAAAAAACA